UACGGAGGGUGCAAGCGUUUAUCCGGAUUUACUGGGUUUAAAGGGUGCGUAGGUGGGUCUGUAAGUCAGUGGUGAAAUCUCCCGAGCUUAACUCGGAAACUGCCAUUGAUACUAUAGAUCUUGAAUAUCCUGGAGGUGAGCGGAAUAUGUCAUGUAGCGGUGAAAUGCUUAGAUAUGACAUAGAACACCAAUUGCGAAGGCAGCUCACUACUGGAUCAUUGACACUGAGGCACGAAAGCGUGGGGAGUCAAACAGG
rnacentral:rRNA from 1 species